AACGAGGCCGACCUGCGGCUGAGUUACCUGCGGAAGGAUCAUUAAAGAGAACUUGCCCCCUUGGGGUAGAUCUCCACCCUUUGUUUACUAUACCUUUGUUGCUUUGGCAGGCCUGUCUUUUUGACUACCGGCAUCAGCUGGUUAGUGCCUGCCAGAGGACCCUAAACUCUUGAUUUUGUACUGUCUGAGUAUUCAAUAAUAGUUAAAACUUUUAACAAUGGAUCUCAGAUCGGAAGAGCA
rnacentral:misc_RNA from 1 species